GCGGGUAUAGCUCAGUGGUAGAGUGUGUGUUUAGCAUGCACAGGGUCCUGGGUUCAAUCCCUAGUACUUCCU
rnacentral:tRNA from 1 species